rnacentral:rRNA from 1 species
GCCCAGACUCCUACGGGAGGCAGCAGUGGGGAAUAUUGCACAAUGGGGGAAACCCUGAUGCAGCGACGCCGCGUGAGUGAAGAAGUAUUUCGGUAUGUAAAGCUCUAUCAGCAGGGAAGAAAAUGACGGUACCUGAUUAAGAAGCCCCGGCUAACUACGUGCCAGCAGCCGCGGUAAUACGUAGGUGGCAAGCGUUGUCCGGAUUUACUGGGUGUAAAGGGAGCGCAGGCGGCGUGGCAAGUCAGAUGUGAAAACCCGGGGCCCAACCCCGGGAGUGCAUUUGAAACUGCCAUGCUGGAGUGCCGGAGAGGUAAGCGGAAUUCCUAGUGUAGCGGUGAAAUGCGUAGAUAUUAGGAGGAACACCAGUGGCGGAGGCGGCUUACUGGACGGUAACUGACGCUGAGGCUCGAAAGCGUGGGGAGCAAACAGGAUUAGAUACCCCGGUACU